AAUUUUAGGGUGCACAGAAAUAGAACCCCACUUUCAAGUUCACUGAUAGAGAUUUCUUAGCAAUCCAGUAUGGCCAGAAUUUUUAUGCUUCGCUCUCACAAUGGUAUUAUUCCCUUUCUCUCUACUUUCCAUUAUUGUUCUGCAAUUUCAACAAGACCUUAUUCUUCAUAUCAUAGUAAUACAUCCAUUUCAGUAAACAUUAAAUUUGAGAAGGUAAAGUGUUUAGAUGAUGCUGUUACUCUCUUCCAUCAAAUGGUCAGAAUGAAGCCUCUUCCUUCUGUUGUAGACUUCUCUAAAUUAUUGAAGACUAUGCUAAAUAUGAAGCAUUACUCAGCUGUCAUUUCUCUUUUUCGAGAAAUGUGGACACUGGACAUCCCAAUUAAUGAUUUCAUCUUGAAUAUCGUGAUUAACAAUUAUUGCCUGAUGCAUCAUGCUGAUUGUGCAUUUUCGGUGUUACCCAUUUAUUUGAAGAAUGGCAUUCCAUUUGAUGUUGUCACCUUUAACACCCUAUUUAGGGGAAUCUUUGCUGAAAAUAAGGUCAAAGAUGCUGUUGAAUUGUUCAAAAAAUUGGUGAGAGAGAAGAUUUGUGAGCCUGAUGAAGUCAUGUAUGCAACUGUCAUGAAUGGGCUCAGCAAAAGGGGUCAUACUCAGAAAACUUUAAGUUUGCUCCGGUUAAUGGAACAAGGGAACACUAAGCCCAACAUAUAUAUCUACAGCAUCGUUAUAGAUGCUCUUUGCAAAGAUGGAAACUUAGAUUCUGCUAUCAACCUUCUGAACGAGAUGAAAUUGAAAGGCAUUCGUCCAGACAUAGUCACUUAUAGUUCUUUGAUUGAUGGUUUGUGUAAGCUUGGCCAGUGGGAAAAGGUUACGACUUUGUUCUCUGAGAUGGUAAAUCAUAAUAUUUAUCCAAAUGUGUGCACCUUCAACAUAGUGAUAGAUGGACUAUGUAAAGAAGGGAAGGUUGAAGAUGCUGAGGAAGUAAUGAAACACAUGGUCGAAAAAGGUGUAAAGCCUAAUAUAAUCACCUACAAUGCAAUAAUGGAUGGAUAUUGUUUGCAUGGUCAACUAGAUAGAGCGAGGAGAAAUUUCGAUCUCAUGAUAGAGAAGUGCACUGAGCCUAACAUUAUUAGCUAUAACAUACUAAUAAAUGGAUACUGUAAACAAAAGAAAUUGGGGGAGGCCAUGCAAUUGUUUCGUGAAAUUUCUCAACAGGGAUCAAAGCCUGAUAUUAUUACCUACAAUACUAUCCUGCAAGGUCUAUUUGAAGUCAGAAGAAUUGGCGAUGCAGAAAAAUUUUAUGCCGAGAUGCUAUCUGUGGGGCCCAUACCUGAUUUAAUCACUCAUCGCACUUUGCUCAAUGGUUAUUUUAAGUACGGACUUGUUGAAAAAGCUAUGUCCCUCUUUAAUAAGUUGGAAAGAAAGAGAGAAGAUCUUGGUAUUGUAUUUUACAAUGUUGUCAUUAAUGGAUUAUGCAAAAAUGGUAAACUCGAUGAAGCUCAUGCGAUUUUCGAGAAGCUUUCUUUGAUGGGAUUGUUUCCGGAUGUGAGAACAUACACUGUAAUGAUAAAUGGAUUUUGUCUUCAAGGGUUGUUUGAUGAAGCUAAAGAUAUGCUAAGAAGAAUGGAAGACAACAAUUGUUUUCCAAACAAUGUCACUUACAAUGUUAUUGUGCAAGGAUUUCUCAGGUUCAACAAAAUUAGUGAAAUGACAACUUUCAUGAAGGAAAUGGCUGGAAGAGGCUUCUCAUUUGAUGCAACUACAACUGAGUUUUUGGUAGACAUUCCAAGGGAGAAUCCUUCCGUCCUUGACAUGAUACCAGAGCUUCACUUGAAAAAUACGAAGUGAAUAUUUUUUUUCGCUUGGUUUAUUCGACUAGGCUAUCACCAUGAUACCAUUUCCUGUUUAUCCAUGCAAAAGAAAUAUCAUCCAAUGCAAUUGCAGAAGCUGAUGGCUAUUAGAACAUUGUCUGAGCUUUCUAGGCAGGCCUAUUGAGAAGCAAAUGUUUUCUUUGGCGGGGUUUCAUUUGAUUUGUUGUGGAUUGGAUGGUGGAAAACCAAGCAAGCACGAAGCGUGUCGUGGUUGGCACAUGGUUUUGGGUGUGAACGAGCAUAUGGAUAGUGGAGGUUAGGCUUAUAAAUGGUUUGCUUUUGUCUAAUUGAGAGUUUGUUUUGAAAAGGCCGACCCUCGGCGAAAGACUUCAAAGUGGUGAUUCCUUGUGCAUAGUUGUCGGAUUAGUUGUCUUGACACUGCAUGGUUUAUUUGUGUCUGGGAGGAAAGAUUUGAAAAGAGAAGGAAAAUAUGGUAAGGAUAGUGCAGGUGCAAGCCCUUUUUAAAGAGCACGGACGCUCCUCUGUGUCUUUGAUGGAUGGGAACUUGGAUUAGUCCAAUUUAAAUGUCCAUACUCACUUUGGUUCAUUUUGCUGGAAAAUGUUUUGGAAUUAAAAGAUGAAUUGUCUAAAUAAAUUACCAAAUUGGGCGCAGUGUGUAUGGGUGUGCUUCUGCAGGUACUAUUGCUUAGCUCUGCUCGUCUUUAUCGUGAAGUUGCUUCCAUCGCAUUAAUAAUUGUAAAAAGGUUACAAUUAAUUUGUUUUAUAAAAGGUUGCUA